UAGCUCAGUUGGUAAAGAAUCUGCCUGCAAAGCAGAAGACCCCGGUUCGAUUCCUGG
rnacentral:tRNA from 1 species